AUUGAACGCUGGCGGCAUGCCUUACACAUGCAAGUCGAACGGUAACAGGUCUUCGGAUGCUGACGAGUGGCGAACGGGUGAGUAAUACAUCGGAACGUGCCCGAGAGUGGGGGAUAACGAGGCGAAAGCUUCGCUAAUACCGCAUACGAUCUACGGAUGAAAGCAGGGGAUCGCAAGAACUUGCGCGAAUGGAGCGGCCGAUGGCAGAUUAGGUAGUUGGUGAGGUAAAGGCUCACCAAGCCUUCGAUCUGUAGCUGGUCUGAGAGGACGACCAGCCACACUGGGACUGAGACACGGCCCAGACUCCUACGGGAGGCAGCAGUGGGGAAUUUUGGACAAUGGGCGCAAGCCUGAUCCAGCCAUGCCGCGUGCAGGAUGAAGGCCUUCGGGUUGUAAACUGCUUUUGUACGGAACGAAAAGGUUCUUUCUAAUAAAGAGAGCUCAUGACGGUACCGUAAGAAUAAGCACCGGCUAACUACGUGCCAGCCGCCGCGGUAACAC
rnacentral:rRNA from 1 species